ensembl:lncRNA
GGCUAAAGUAAUAUAUACUGUAAAAAAAUACUAAAAUACCAAGCGAUUCAGUGAGUGAGGGAGUUUUUUUGACUGAUGAAUUCCACUGGUGGCGAGCCGAAGGAAGAAUCCAUGUGCAGUUUUAUUAACUGGUUAACCGAUACGAAAACAUGACAUAAACACGAAUACUUGAACUCGACUUGAGACAUGAUAACUUGACUAUAACAGACUUGACAAACUCAUCAUUAAGAACACACUUGGUGAAGGGUGCAAUAGUUUCCUCAUUAUUUCCACCUGGAAUGUUAUCAUGCCAGGCAGCGUUAACAGGAAUAUCUUAUUACUGCUGUUAAUAUGUUACAAAUAAUUAUUUAUUUCAUAAUGAAUUUUUAAAAUAUGCUUUAUAAGUGUAUGGGUGGGUGAGUCUUCAUGCUGUGAAAACCUAUAAUUUUGACGUGGUGCUGUAUAUUGCUGUGGGCUGCUGUGUAUUGCCGUGUGUCCUGUCAGAUAAACCCCCGCCUUCACGCACUUCGUCGCGGGAGGACAAGGAGACUGCUGGUCCUAGCCUAGUUCAGUACAGUAUAUGUUGUGAGCGUGCUUCAGAUCUCCGGAGAUAGCACAGUACGCUGUGUCCAGCCCAGAGUUGAUACCUGUGGAGAGAAAAGGAGAGAGAGUGGGUAACACGAGGAGAGACCGAGGAAACCUGUACUUACGCCGCUGCCUGUGGAGAAAGAGAAAGCGACCGUUGCCUGUGGAGGAAGAGAAAGAGAGUGAGCACCCCGAGAACGAACUGUGUGAACCAGUACUUACCGUGAGCUGUAUUCAGCGAAGAGGAGGAAGAAGGAGGGCGCUACGGAUACCUAAGACUCAGGCCGGGGCCCGAGUCCCACGCCCCGGAUCCCCGUGGCCCCCUUGCUCCCUGACCUCUUCCCGGCCAUAGCCCAUCUGGAGGGCCGAGUCAGAGUUUAGUUUUAAUUGCCCUUUCCCUAUUCCCCAAGCUAUUUUUAAAUAUUUAAAUAAAGAUUGUUUUAUCACUUACUUGUUCUCGUGU